rnacentral:rRNA from 1 species
AAAGACGGUCUUGCUGUCACUUAUAGAUGGAUCCGCGCUGCAUUAGCUAGUUGGUAAGGUAACGGCUUACCAAGGCAACGAUGCAUAGCCGACCUGAGAGGGUGAUCGGCCACACUGGAACUGAGACACGGUCCAGACUCCUACGGGAGGCAGCAGUAGGGAAUCUUCCGCAAUGGGCGAAAGCCUGACGGAGCAACGCCGCGUGAGUGAUGAAGGUCUUCGGAUCGUAAAACUCUGUUAUUAGGGAAGAACAUAUGUGUAAGUAACUGUGCACAUCUUGACGGUACCUAAUCAGAAAGCCACGGCUAACUACGUGCCAGCAGCCGCGGUAAUACGUAGGUGGCAAGCGUUAUCCGGAAUUAUUGGGCGUAAAGCGCGCGUAGGCGGUUUUUUAAGUCUGAUGUGAAAGCCCACGGCUCAACCGUGGAGGGUCAUUGGAAACUGGAAAACUUGAGUGCAGAAGAGGAAAGUGGAAUUCCAUGUGUAGCGGUGAAAUGCGCAGAGAUAUGGAGGAACACCAGUGGCGAAGGCGACUUUCUGGUCUGUAACUGACGCUGAUGUGCGAAAGCGUGGGGAUCAAACAGGAUUAGAUACCCUGGUAGUCCACGCCGUAAACGAUGAGUGCUAAGUGUUAGGGGGUUUCCGCCCCUUAGUGCUGCAGCUAACGCAUUAAGCACUCCGCCUGGGGAGUACGACCGCAAGGUUGAAACUCAAAGGAAUUGACGGGGACCCGCACAAGCGGUGGAGCAUGUGGUUUAAUUCGAAGCAACGCGAAGAACCUUACCAAAUCUUGACAUCCUUUGACAACUCUAGAGAUAGAGCCUUCCCCUUCGGGGGACAAAGUGACAGGUGGUGCAUGGUUGUCGUCAGCUCGUGUCGUGAGAUGUUGGGUUAAGUCCCGCAACGAGCGCAACCCUUAAGCUUAGUUGCCAUCAUUAAGUUGGGCACUCUAAGUUGACUGCCGGUGACAAACCGGAGGAAGGUGGGGAUGACGUCAAAUCAUCAUGCCCCUUAUGAUUUGGGCUACACACGUGCUACAAUGGACAAUACAAAGGGCAGCGAAACCGCGAGGUCAAGCAAAUCCCAUAAAGUUGUUCUCAGUUCGGAUUGUAGUCUGCAACUCGACUACAUGAAGCUGGAAUCGCUAGUAAUCGUAGAUCAGCAUGCUACGGUGAAUACGUUCCCGGGUCUUGUACACACCGCCCGUCACACCACGAGAGUUUGUAACACCCGAAGCCGGUGGAGUAACCUUUUAGGAGCUAGCCGUCGAAGGUGGGACAAAUGAUUGGGGUGAAGUCGUAACAAGGUAGCCGUAUCGGAAGGUGCGGCUGGAUCACCUC